AUUGAACGCUGGCGGCAUGCUUUACACAUGCAAGUCGAACGGUAACAGGCCGCAAGGUGCUGACGAGUGGCGAACGGGUGAGUAAUGCAUCGGAACGUGCCCGGUCGUGGGGGAUAACGCAGCGAAAGCUGCGCUAAUACCGCAUACGAUCUCUGGAUGAAAGCGGGGGACCGAAAGGCUCGCGCGAUUGGAGCGGCCGAUGUCAGAUUAGGUAGUUGGUGAGGUAAAGGCUCACCAAGCCGACGAUCUGUAGCUGGUCUGAGAGGACGACCAGCCACACGGGGACUGAGACACGGCCCAGACUCCUACGGGAGGCAGCAGUGGGGAAUUUUGGACAAUGGGCGCAAGCCUGAUCCAGCAAUGCCGCGUGCAGGAUGAAGGCCUUCGGGUUGUAAACUGCUUUUGUACGGAGCGAAACGGCUUCCACUAAUACUGGGGGCUAAUGACGGUACCGUAAGAAUAAGCACCGGCUAACUACGUGCCAGCAGCCGCAGUAAGAC
rnacentral:rRNA from 1 species